rnacentral:lncRNA from 1 species
CAGAAAAAUUAGUGGGCCAUAUAGCGUUCUGCUCGAGCCCGUAGUUUCCGCUUUUUAAAAUGUGUUUGGGGAGGAGAUUUGUCAUUUGCAAAAAGGAACAAAGAAGUCAGGGCACAUUUAGAUUUUCCAUAGUAAUUAGAUGCUUGUUGCCGGGGAAGCAUUUGGGUUGUUAAUCAAAUCUCCAAAGUUUUGGUCUCCUGGAUUAAACAACUCCCCCUCUCCCUGACCUGGCCCAGCUUUUGUUUCAUUAUGUAGAUCUGACCUUUACCUCACAAAGGUGCUGGCACGGAGAAGACGCUUUGAAAACUUUCUCCCCUACCAAAGUGUUGAAGUCAAGAUGAAGGCACCACCUUCCCAUGAAGGCACCACCUUCCCAUGAAGGCACCACCAUUACCAGUCCCAGCCCUGGGCCUCACAUGUUCCCUUCUGGCUGUCCUGGGACACUGAUGCUCACGAAUGCUGUCUCAGGUGCCUCCUUAUUCAGUGUUGAAUCAAAAAUCUUGGCUGUCCUUCCUGGAGGGCCCUUGAAUCCCACUUAACCUGGCUGGUGUGAUGUGCUCUGCAGGAGGGAAGCAAUGAAGCAGAACAGGAUGAUCACAAAUUGAGAACUGUUCUUCCAAAUAAUAGAAAGGGAGAAAUUAGACCAAAUGCCUUUUCCAUCAUUUCUCUCAUCCCUGUCCAAUUUUGCAUAAGGAAUCCCUGGGAACUGUGAAAGGUAUAUUCUCUCUGCACUUGCAGGAUGACCUCCGAAGAGGUCACUGUCACUCCCAAGGCCUGUGUGACCCCG